AUGACCGGCCUGCUCGGGAAGUUGGUUGAGGGGUGGACGUCCCUCAGUGCCUCUGACAGCGACGCGGUUGCGAGGCAGUUCACUUCAUUUGUCCCAGAACGUACACAUUGGCCAACCGGUUGCCGUGGCCGGUAUGACUACAACAGCUCCCAAGAGCCCGGUGACACACAUGAUGAUGUGGAUGGAGACGCUGGCCUCAGCAAGGACGACGACGAUGACACCGAUGACGAUGAACACGCUGAAGUUCGCACAUGCGGCAACAAGGGCAAGGAUGCAACAGGUGCCCACCCACUGGAGAAAGUGAAAGAACAUACGGCUGCGAGGGGCGAGGGGGUUUUGCCAUCAAGGAGGGGGAGGGCUCCAGAGGAUGUUGGGCAGGGUUAUGCUGGCAAGAGGUCUAGGAUCGAUCCCGUAGCUGCCAGGAAGAGUGAGCCGACCGCUGGUGGACGAGCAGCUACGAAGAAACAGGCGCCAACGCCAACCCGUGUUUCUGCUCGCUUGAACAAAGGUGCCCCCAUUGCCGGUGACAUCCCUUCCACCAGGUCUUCUGCUCGUACGACGACGACCAACACCGGGGAUCCUGUCGUGUUGCCUGACCUGAGGAAGGCAGUCAAUAAGGUGAAGAAGACUACUACGCGCGGGGCCAAGCAUAUCAGUAGAGACCCACUCGAACGCCUGCAUUCAAAGUUGUCAACAGGUGGCAACUCAGAUGUACAUGAGGCGCCAGGCGACAAUACUGCUGCUGCACCGUCAACUGCUCCCACUAACUCUGAUGCAAGUGGCCGACCAUCUCCGCCGGCUGCAGAUGUGCAGGCUAGAACAACAGGCAUCCGUACAUCGGGGAGUGACGAGUCGGUAUCCGCCAGGACAGCUGAAAUAUUGCCAACUCUUCUGGCAAUGAAGUAUGCUGCUGUGAGCCAUGCCACCCCAUCAGCAAGCGUCGAAGUGGAUGCUCCCGAGACCAACCUAGGCAAGGAAGAUUCCCGCUCAUCUGACACUAAUUCCAAGCGCGUGCCUGGUGUCUCACCUGUGUCCAUGACAGAAGCGGCUGAGGCGGCACUUCACAAGGAUAUGCCAUCUGCAGAUGAGAAUCCUGGCACAAUAGCUCCAGCUCCUGUCGGUGGAGAUACUGCUAAGGCGACCGUUCCACGUGCUGGUCUUCCACCUAGGCGUCGUAGCCCCCGCAAGCAAUCAACAGACAUACCCAACGCUCCGGCUGUAGCUAGGAGCAGGAGAGACGAAUCUGGUUAUGUUCCUGCGUCCACACUGUUCCCGCCACCUGCAAAAAUCAAUGUGAUGGAGAAACCGCAAGACCGGAGCACAACUGAUGCAGGUGUCAAGCCGGGUACCAGUGACGCAGAGGAACGCCCGGAGCAGACUGCGCCUUCACCCGCAGCGGAAAUCCCCAGCAUAAAUCUGCGCACUUCCAGGCUCCCAGUCAAUGUCGGUGUCCCCUACAGUCCAAACAAGAAGAUUGUCAUGAAAGCUGCGGCUGAGACCGCUGACAACACGCCCCGCCCUGCAAAUAAGGCCGAUCAUUUUUUAGCGGCCGAUUCAUAUAUGUUUGUCAAUCUUUCACCCUUGGAUUCUGCCCCGAAAGUCGUUCGUGGUUCGGCCAGUAGGAAUGAGAGGCACCCAAUGGCCUUUACCCCACCGAGCUUCAGCCUCGGCGUCAGUCAAGAUCAACCGGUGGUGCACGAUCCUAUACCAGUUGCCUUUGCUUUCCCAGGAGGCAUGCCCGCAAUGAUGGCGCAGCCAAUGGUCGAGGGCAGGAAGGCUGUCAAGUUCGCAGAGCCAAUUGUGCAAGCCACCCCUGAGGAGAUUUCACCGUCACUUGAUGAAGUUUACCGCAUGAUCGAGGAGACAGCAUUGCAGAGGAGUUCCUCACGAGGGCAAGGGCAAUCAAGUUCCAAUGUGCCUGCAGAUACGGUAUCUGAGGAUACCAUUAGGAGUGUCACCCCUGGUCCUGUGAGGCAGCAGAGGGUAGUUCACCCACCCCCCGCGGAAGACUACGAGCCCGAAUUCAGGGCCACUAAGGAACAGACCCAGCUGUAUGAUAUCGUCAAGCGUUUUGGAAAUGCGAGGACCAACAGCAAGCACAUGAAGGAGCUGAAAGCGUAA
rnacentral:rRNA from 1 species